rnacentral:tRNA from 1 species
GCCCCCGUAGCUUAACGGAUAAAGUACCGGUCUUCGGAACCGGUGAUGCGGGUUCGAUUCCUGCCGGGGGCG